GCGACGCUCAGACACGUUAAGCAGAGAAGCCGCAAGAAAAAAAAAAGAGGCCGCAAGAAAACGGAAGCAGCAGCAGCUGCAGCGCGACCACGAAUGGCGUCGACCUCGAGCUUGGAGUUGGGGAAGAUCGUGCCGCCGGCCGGCUUCCUCCUCCACCGCUGCACCGCCGUCCUCAGCGCCCCUGUUCUCCGGGGGAGGAGCGCGAGCGGGCGGUGCGGCCUUGCCGUCUCGGUCUCGUCCUCCAAUGGUGCAGCUGGGCUCUCCCCACUGAGUGACUCGGAGAAGAAAGGCCCUGUGGUGAUGGAGAUCCCGCUGGAAGAUAUCCGGAGGCCGCUAAUGCAAACGCGUGCUAAUGAUCCUGACAAGGUGCAGGAGCUCAUGGACAGCAUCCGUGUCAUCGGCCUCCAAGUACCUAUCGACGUGCUGGAGGUUGACGGAGUCUACUACGGUAGUUUUGUUCUCAUCUCAAUUGGUUAUUCCCCACUCCCAAAAGAUAAUCCCAUUUCCCUCUUGCUGAAUAUGCUUGCACAUAAUCCUCAGGAUUCUCUGGAUGCCAUCGCUACGAGGCUCACCAGCGCCUAGGACUCCCAACCAUCCGCUGCAAAGUCCGCCGAGGGACAAAAGAAACACUGCGGCACCAUAUGCGAUGAAUCGGUGGUUAGCGAUGAAUGGAUGAUCCAUGGACUGCUUCAGCCACGAAGUGUCAUCUGUUAUGUCUAGUGCUAAAAAAAAACUUUCUCCUCCUGUAAUCAUAUAUACGUGUAAAUGUUACCCAAUCCAAUGUGUAAAAUAGCACUUGUUCA